rnacentral:rRNA from 1 species
GACGAACGCUGGCGGCGUGCCUAAUACAUGCAAGUAGAACUCUGAAGGAGGAGCUUGCUUCUCUGGAUGAGUUGCGAACGGGUGAGUAACGCGUAGGUAACCUGCCUGGUAGCGGGGGAUAACUCUUGGAAACGAUAGCUAAUACCGCAUAAGAGUAGAUGUUGCAUGACAUUUGCUUAAAAGGUGCAAUUGCAUCACUACCUGUUGGACCUGCGUUGUAUUAGCUAGUUGGUGGGGUAACGGCUCACCAAGGCGACGAUACGUAGUCGACCUGAGAGGGGGAUCGGACACACGGGAACUGAGCCACGGUGCAGACUACGACGGGAGGCAGCAGUAGGGAAGCUUACGAAAUGGGCGAAAGACUGACGGAGCAACGCAGCGGGAGUGAUGAAGGUCUUAGGAUCGGAAAACGCGGUGAUUAGGGAAGAACAAACGGGGAAGUAACUGUGCACGUCGUGACGGGACCUAAUCAGAAAGCCACGGCUAACUACGUG